UUCCCCCUCAAGUCUCGCGUCAUACUCGCCAUUACUGCCUCUGGGGUUUCUGCCGCACGGGACAGCCAGUCCGCGUUCCCGUUGUUGACUCCAGGGCGGUACGUGACUUGGAACUGGUACGGCUGCAGGCUGAGAUACAACCGCAAAAUCCGUGGUUCAUGUUUCAAGUGGAAGAUGUAAUCUGCAUUACUGUCAACUAGAGAGGCAGCUCAAACACCUUGUACGCUUUCUUCAGGUACGAGCAUUGACAGAUAUGGAUGUGAAUAUCCACGGUCACUUUUGUGGAUACAGAUACCAGUGCAGAUACAACUUUCAUAGCCAUGCAGGGCUCUAAUUAUCAUGCCCAGUGGAUUUCUUCGGUAUCAGUGUAAAACAUAUAAUGCCUUUAAAUCAAUAAGUAUCAGACCCAAGCAAGGAUCAAGAGCAGAAACUGAAAAGUUCAGAAGACGAUGAGGACAACGACUAAAGGCAAAGAAAGAGAUCCACCUGAAGCGAGAUUAAAGACUCAGCACUGUUUAAAGAGAUGAGUAUAAGGGUGAAUAAUAGGAACGGAAAUAUAAUGAAUGCACAGAGAAAGGAAGUCACGCGCUCCUAUUGUUACCCUCUCAUAUAAUACAGGAACAAGAGAGCAUUUAGUUGAAAGUACAUUUAAAACUGAUAAAAGGAAAUUAUUAGGUUUAUUUAAAAUGCAUAAUUAAUCAAUGAAACUGUUGGAUUAAUUUAGAUGGAAUAAAUGGGCUAAUGAUGUUAACAUAACCGAGACACUGUUCAACAUAAACAAGGGUAAAAAAGGGUCCAAUGCUUGGUAUCCAGAGACCUCGGCCUGUUUUGCGUUAUGAAAACACACAAUUAAACAUCCUUUUAACCUUGUAUUAGAGAUAUAAAAAAGAAAAAAAAACAAUUAAAGCAUUUAAGGCUUUCAUUUUAAUGUCAUCCCUUGUUUCCUGUCCCCUUAGCGGGAGCAAGUUUUUAAAAGGAGAAAUCCCCUCUUGGUUAGCAGUCUUAGAUGGUAAUAAGUCUUGUUUUUGGGGAAAGAGAAGUUAGUUGAGAUGGUCUGGAGAUGUCAUUGUGGCACUUAUUAAAGUCCAGAUUCAGAAGGGAAAAGUUCCCUCGUUUGAUGGUGUGAAAGGGUGAGAGAAUCCUGACACAGGGGGAGUGUGUGAAUCCCAUCAAAGUCUUUUAAAUGAUAUCAAAGGUAGCAGUAACUAUCAUUCCAAAAAGUGUUUUGGAUUCAGAUGGAGCUAAUAGGGUGGUGAUAUCAUCUGGGUCCUUCUCUCUCUGGCCCAUUCUGGCCAGUACAUGUCUCCAGAUCAGAAUGAGGAAGAGCUACAGUCUCAGGAAAUGGUGGGGUGGCAGCAAUGAUGGUGACACUUGCUCCAAUAGCCUCUGUUCUUGCCAUCUGAUGUUGGUUUUGGGGGUUCUUUUCGCUGCUGCUGUUUUAUCAUUCUCCUUAAUCUCUCUUUCUUUUGAGGUCCCAAAAAAGGAGUGAUGAGUGGAAUAGCCCAGAUCCUCAUUAUUUUGUCUUCCAAUUAGGCUUAAUAUACUAAUUAUAACUCAUUAAUUUCCACCUCCCCCUCUCUUAUUUUUAACAAGCAUAAUUUCAACACAGUUCUUAAAUCAUAUCAGUAGGCCUUUUUGUUUGAAAACUCGCUCAGUUAUUCUGUCAAGUUUUCGUGCCUUUGCUCACCAUCAUGUUACUGUAACAUCUUAUGAACUUUACAUGCUUUUUAAAGUUGAGUUCAUAUUUCAGGUCAAUUUGUAGACCCAAUCCCAACAGAACUCAUGGCCAACAAGUAUCAGUGAGGCCAAGGCCUUAAUUGGAUGUCUUGGUUGAUUAGGUAUUUAUAUAGAUAAAAAUACACCCACAAAUUCACAGAAUGGGAUCAACAUUUAUACAGGAUACAAACACUCAUGUUUCAAAGUGCUGAAAACUGGGAAGUCAAUGGGAGCUGUUGAUGUUCAGCACUUGGCAGGAUUGGGCCAUUAAUUAAUGAACUCUGGUAAUGCAACUGAGGGAUGAUUAUAUAGGGAAUGCAGCCUGUAAUCCUUUGCCUCAUUUCUUCACAAAAGGAAUGACUACCGCACUACUGAUCAACAAGAAGCUUUAUUGUUCCUUGCAGCAAUUUUAAAGAAUAACUCGGAAAUUUGAUAUAAUUCAGCAUUAGAAUAAAAACAGUGUUCUUUCCUACUCUAUGCAAUUUACUUCGGAGGGGAAAAUAAUUCCAUGAAUGUCAGACUAAAUAAUAGAAAUUAUCAUAAUGCCCAAAUUAGCUCUGUUAUCAUUUUAAUGUCUAAAUAGCUAUUGUUGCAAGAACACUACUCACAAUAAGUCAUGAACAACAAAAUUGUACUCUCUG